UACGUAGGUGGCAAGCGUUGUCCGGAAUUAUUGGGCGUAAAGCGCGCGCAGGCGGUUCUUUAAGUCUGAUGUGAAAGCCCACGGCUCAACCGUGGAGGGUCAUUGGAAGCUGGGGGACUUGAGUACAGAAGAGAAGAGUGGAAUUCCACGUGUAGCGGUGAAAUGCGUAGAGAUGUGGAGGAACACCAGUGGCGAAGGCGACUCUUUGGUCUGUAACUGACGCUGAGGCGCGAAAGCGUGGGGAGCAAACAGG
rnacentral:rRNA from 1 species